rnacentral:rRNA from 1 species
UACGUAGGGUGCGAGCGUUAAUCGGAAUUACUGGGCGUAAAGGGUGCGCAGGCGGUUAAUUAAGUCAGCUGUGAAAUCCCCGGGCUUAACCUGGGAAUGGCAGUUGAGACUGGUUAGCUAGAGUGUGUCAGAGGGGGGUAGAAUUCCACGUGUAGCAGUGAAAUGCGUAGAGAUGUGGAGGAAUACCGAUGGCGAAGGCAGCCCCCUGGGAUAACACUGACGCUCAAGCACGAAAGCGUGGGGAGCAAACAGG